rnacentral:rRNA from 1 species
AUUGAACGCUGGCGGCAGGCCUAACACAUGCAAGUCGAACGCGUGGCGGACGGGUGCGUAAUGUCUGGGAAACUGCCUGAUGGAGGGGGAUAACUACUGGACACGGUAGCUAAUACCGCAUACCAUCGGAUGUGCCCAUAUGGGAUUAGCUAGUAGGUGGGGUAAAGGCUCACCUAGGCGACGAUCCCUAGCUGGUCUGAGAGGAUGACCAGCCACACUGGAACUGAGACACGGUCCAGACGCCUACGGGAGGCAGCAGUGGGGAAUAUUGCACAAUGGGCGCAAGCCUGAUGCAGCCAUGCCGCGUGUAUGAAGAAGGCCGUAGGGUUGUAAAGUACUUUCAGUGGGGAGGCGUUACCCGCAGAAGAAGCACCGGCUAACUCCGUGCCAGCAGCCGCGGUAAUAC